GUUGUGCCAGAAGGGGCAGCUCUGCUGUGGGCUUCAGCUGGGCACAGACAGGGUGAGGGCCUGGCCUGUGCCUGGGAGCUGGGGUGCUCACAGGCCUGCAAAG
rnacentral:snoRNA from 1 species